rnacentral:rRNA from 1 species
UUACUACCCUUGACAUGUCCGGAACUUGCCAGAGAUGGCUGGUGCCCGAAAGGGAAUCGGAACACAGGUGCUGCAUGGCUGUCGUCAGCUCGUGUCGUGAGAUGUUGGGUUAAGUCCCGCAACGAGCGCAACCCUUAUCAUUAGUUGCUACGCAAGGGCACUCUAAUGAGACUGCCGGUGACAAACCGGAGGAAGGUGGGGAUGACGUCAAGUCCUCAUGGCCCUUAUGGGUAGGGCUUCACACGUCAUACAAUGGUCGGUACAGAGGGUUGCCAAGCCGCGAGGCGGAGCCAAUCCCACAAAGCCGAUCGUAGUCCGGAUUGUUCUCUGCAACUCGAGAGCAUGAAGUCGGAAUCGCUAGUAAUCGCAGGUCAGCAUACUGCGGUGAAUACGUUCCCGGGUCUU